ACACAUGCAAGUCGAACGAGAGAGAAGGAGCUUGCUUCUUCGAUCGAGUGGCGAACGGGUGAGUAACGCGUGAGGAACCUGCCUCAAAGAGGGGGACAACAGUUGGAAACGACUGCUAAUACCGCAUAAGCCCACGGGUCGGCAUCGACCUGAGGGAAAAGGAGCAAUCCGCUUUGAGAUGGCCUCGCGUCCGAUUAGCUAGUUGGUGAGGUAACGGCCCACCAAGGCGACGAUCGGUAGCCGGACUGAGAGGUUGAACGGCCACAUUGGGACUGAGACACGGCCCAGACUCCUACGGGAGGCAGCAGUGGGGAAUAUUGCACAAUGGGGGAAACCCUGAUGCAGCGACGCCGCGUGGAGGAAGAAGGUCUUCGGAUUGUAAACUCCUGUUGUUGAGGAAGAUAAUGACGGUACUCAACAAGGAAGUGACGGCUAACUACGUGCCAGCAGCCGCGGUAAAACGUAGGUCACAAGCGUUGUCCGGAAUUACUGGGUGUAAAGGGAGCGCAGGCGGGAAGACAAGUUGGAAGUGAAAUCUAUGGGCUUAACCCAUAAACUGCUUUCAAAACUGUUUUUCUUGAGUAGUGCAGAGGUAGGCGGAAUUCCCGGUGUAGCGGUGGAACGCGUAGAUAUCGGGAGGAACACCAGUGGCGAAGGCGGCCUACUGGGCACCAACUGACGCUGGGGCUCGAAAGUGUGGGUAGCAAACAGGAUUAGAUACCCUGGUAGUCCACACCGUAAACGAUGAUUACUAGGUGUUGGAGGAUUGACCCCUUCAGUGCCGCAGUUAACACAAUAAGUAAUCCACCUGGGGAGUACGACCGCAAGGUUGAAACUCAAAGGAAUUGACGGGGGCCCGCACAAGCAGUGGAGUAUGUGGUU
rnacentral:rRNA from 1 species